ACUCCUACGGGAGGCAGCAGUAGGGAAUUUUGGGCAAUGGGCGAAAGCCCGACCCAGCAACGCCGCGUGUGGGAUGAAGGCCCUCGGGUCGUAAACCACUGUCAGGAGGAAAGAAAAGUCGGCCGGAUAAUACUCGGUCGACCUGACGGUACCUCCAAAGGAAGCACCGGCUAACUCCGUGCCAGCAGCCGCGGUAAU
rnacentral:rRNA from 1 species